CGGCGGACGGGUGAGUAACGCGUGGGCGAACCUGCCUCGUACAGGGGGAUAACAGUUAGAAAUGACUGCUAAAACCGCAUAAGCGCACAGCAGCGCAUGCUGCAGUGUGAAAAACUCCGGCGGUACGGGAUGGACCCGCGUCUGAUUAGCUGGUUGGCGGGGUAACGGCCCACCAAGGCGACGAUCAGUAGCCGGCCUGAGAGGGCGGACGGCCACAUUGGGACUGAGACACGGCCCAAACUCCUACGGAAGGCAGCAG
rnacentral:rRNA from 1 species